rnacentral:rRNA from 1 species
UGGGGAAUAUUGGACAAUGGGCGAAAGCCUGAUCCAGCCACGCCGCGUGGGUGAUGAAGGCCUUCGGGUUGUAAAGCCCUGUCGGAGGGGACGAAGUCCGCGAGGAUUGACGGUACCUUCCAAGAAAGCACCGGCUAACUCCGUGCCAGCAGCCGCGGUAAUACGGAGGGUGCAAGCGUUGCUCGGAAUUACUGGGCGUAAAGCGUACGCAGGCGGCUUGACAAGUCGGGUGUGAAAGCCCCGAGCUCAACUCGGGAACGGCACUCGAAACGGUCAAGCUAGAGUUCGGGAGAGGGAAGUGGAAUUCCUGGUGUAGAGGUGAAAUUCGUUGAUAUCAGGAGGAACACCGGCGGCGAAAGCGGCUUCCUGGCCCGCAACUGACGCUCAUGUACGAAAGCGUGGGGAGCAAACAGG